GCCGCGUUAGCUCAGAUGGCAGAGCGUUCGCCUUGUAAGCGAAAUGUCGAGAGUUCGACUCUCUCACGCGGCU
rnacentral:tRNA from 1 species